rnacentral:rRNA from 1 species
CCUACGGGAGGCAGCAGUGGGGAAUAUUGGGCAAUGGAGGCAACUCUGACCCAGCAACGCCGCGUGAAUGAUGAAGGUCUUCGGAUUGUAAAGUUCUGUGAUGGGGGAUGAACACAAUGACGGUACCCCAAUAGCAAGCCACGGCUAACUACGUGCCAGCAUCCGCGGUAAUACGUAGGUGGCAAGCGUUAUCCGGAAUGACUGGGCGUAAAGGGUGCGUAGGUGGUUUAGUAAGUUGGCAGUGUAAUUCCGGGGCUCAACCUCGGCGCUACCGCCAAAACUAUUAGACUAGAGUGCAGGGGGGGUAAGUGGAAUUCCUAGUGUAGAGGUGGAAUGCGUAGAUAUUAGGAGGAACAUCAGGGGCGAAGGCGACUUACUGGACUGUAACUGACACUGAGGCACGAAAGCGUGGGGAGCAAACAGGAUUAGAUACCCUAGUAGUC